CUUGUUUCAAUGAAAAUUGUACUAAAUCUGGAAUGAAGAAAGACAAUUAGCAUAAUUCCUGCUGAAGGGUGACUUGAGAACUUGUGAAAUUCUUCAUUUUUUU